rnacentral:rRNA from 1 species
CUCGUGUCGUGAGAUGUUGGGUUAAGUCCCGCAACGAGCGCAACCCUCGUCCUAUGUUGCCAGCGGGUCAUGCCGGGGACUCAUGGGAGACUGCCGGGGUCAACUCGGAGGAAGUGGGGAUGACGUCAAAUCAUCAUGCCCCUUAUGUCUUGGGCUUCACGCAUGCUACAAUGGCCGGUACAAAGGGCUGCGAUACCGCGAGGUGGAGCGAAUCCCAGAAAGCCGGUCUCAGUUCGGAUUGGGGUCUGCAACUCGACCCCAUGAAGUCGGAGUCGCUAGUAAUCGCAGAUCAGCAACGCUGCGGUGAAUACGGUUCCCGGGCCUU